GUGUUCAAGGUUGUCACCUCCUCAACAAUGCAUGUAGAUAGGGCCUAUAUAGGUCAUAAUUUGUAUGUUGUAUAAAAUGCUUAAUUAUAGUAUUGUAAUGUAGAUUAUGAAAAUGUAAUUAAUAGGAAUGUGAUGUAAAUUAAUAAAUUAACUUUUUCAUAUGUAAUUAAUUUAUAUAUCAUGUAAAUUAUGAAAUCAUGUAAAUUAAAGAAAUUUGAAAAUUUUACUUAUGUGAUUGAACAUGAAUGAGAUUGUAUGGAUUCGAAGACAGAUUUGAAAUAUAUAGAUAAUGCAUGGAAAUGAAUAUGAAAUUGAGAUAUAUGAAUGAGAUGUGAAUUAUGAGAUGGUUAUGAAAAUAAUUGAUGAGAUUUUAUUUGUAAAAUAUUAUUGAAACUUUCAAACAGGUAAAUAGUAAAAU
rnacentral:misc_RNA from 1 species